UCUGGUGGUUAUAGCCAAGGUGAAACACCUCUUCCCAUUCCGAACAGAGAAGUUAAGACCUUGAACGCCGAUGGUACUGCAUGGGCAACUGUGUGGGAGAGUAGGUAGCUGCCAGGA
rnacentral:rRNA from 1 species